rnacentral:rRNA from 1 species
CAGUAUUGGACCUCUAGAGUUUGAUCCUGGCUCAGGAAGUCUAACAAGGUAACCAGAUUGGAUCCCCUAAAGUUUGAUCCCGGCUCAGAAAGUCCGAACAAGGUAACCAGUAUUGGAUCCCCUAAAGUUUGAUCCCGGUUCCUUAAUGGUGAAAAAGGGAAACACGGUUUGGGCCCCCUUAAUUUGAUCCCGCCUCCAAAAAUCCUAAAAAAAAAACAGGUUUUUUUUCCCCUGGAAUUUUUUUCCCCCCCCCCUGAGAGGGUGAUCGGCCACACAAUUUUUACCCCUUGGCCCAGACUCCUACGGGAGGCAGCAGUAGGGAAUCUUCCACAAUGGGCGAAAGCCUGAUGGAGCAACGCCGCGUGAGUGAAGAAGGUUUUCGGAUCGUAAAACUCUGUUGUAAGGGAAGAACAAGUACAGUAGUAACUGGCUGUACCUUGACGGUACCUUAUUAGAAAGCCACGGCUAACUACGUGCCAGCAGCCGCGGUAAUACGUAGGUGGCAAGCGUUGUCCGGAAUUAUUGGGCGUAAAGCGCGCGCAGGCGGUCCUUUAAGUCUGAUGUGAAAGCCCACGGCUCAACCGUGGAGGGUCAUUGGAAACUGGGGGACUUGAGUGCAGAAGAGGAAAGUGGAAUUCCAAGUGUAGCGGUGAAAUGCGUAGAGAUUUGGAGGAACACCAGUGGCGAAAGCGACUUUCUGGUCUGUAACUGACGCUGAGGCGCAAAAGCGUGGGGAGCAAACAGGAUUAUAUACCCUGGUAGUCCACGCCGUAAACGAUGAGUGCUAAGUGUUAGGGGGUUUCCGCCCCCUUAGUGCUGCAGCUAACGCAUUAAGCACUCGCCCGGGGGAGUACGGUCGCAAGACUGAAACUCAAAGGAAUUGACGAGUCUGAUGUGAAAGCCCACGGCUCAACCGUGGAGGGUCAUUGGAAACUGGGGGACUUGAGUGCAGAAGAGGAAAGUGGAAUUCCAAGUGUAGCGGUGAAAUGCGUAGAGAUUUGGAGGAACACCAGUGGCGAAGGCGACUUUCUGGUCUGUAACUGACGCUGAGGCGCGAAAGCGUGGGGAGCAAACAGGAUUAGAUACCCUGGUAGUCCACGCCGUAAACGAUGAGUGCUAAGUGUUAGGGGGUUUCCGCCCCUUAGUGCUGCAGCUAACGCAUUAAGCACUCCGCCUGGGGAGUACGGUCGCAAGACUGAAACUCAAAGGAAUUGACGGGGGCCCGCACAAGCGGUGGAGCAUGUGGUUUAAUUUGAAGCAACGCGAAGAACCUUACCAGGUCUUGACAUCCCGUUGACCACUGUAGAGAUAUAGUUUCCCCUUCGGGGGCAACGGUGACAGGUGGUGCAUGGUUGUCGUCAGCUCGUGUCGUGAGAUGUUGGGUUAAGUCCCGCAACGAGCGCAACCCUUGAUCUUAGUUGCCAUCAUUUAGUUGGGCACUCUAAGGUGACUGCCGGUGACAAACCGGAGGAAGGUGGGGAUGACGUCAAAUCAUCAUGCCCCUUAUGAAAGGGGAAAAAAGGAAACCACAAUGGACGAUACAAAGUUUUGCCAACUCGCGAGAAAGAGGAAAAAAGGAAACCUCUUUGGGUUCCUUUGGGGUUUGCCCCGGGUCCAGAAAGUGGAACCAAGGUAACCAGUAUUGGAUCCUCUGGAUUUUGAUCCGGGCUCGGUAAGUGGUAACAAGGUAACCAGUAUUGGAUCCUUAGAGUUUGAUCCGGCUCAGGAAGUCGUAACAAGGUAACCAGUAUGGUCCUCUAGAGU